GAGUUUGAUCCUGGCUCAGGAUGAACGCUGGCGGCGUGCCUAACACAUGCAAGUCGAGCGAAGCACUUUAAUUUGAUUCUUCGGAUGAGGAUUUUUGUGACUGAGCGGCGGACGGGUGAGUAACGCGUGGGCAACCUGCCUUACACAGGGGGAUAACAGUUAGAAAUGACUGCUAAUACCGCAUAAGACCACAGUACUGCAUGGUGCAGUGGUAAAAACUCCGGUGGUGUAAGAUGGGCCCGCGUCUGAUUAGGUAGUUGGCGGGGUAACGGCCCACCAAGCCGACGAUCAGUAGCCGACCUGAGAGGGUGACCGGCCACAUUGGGACUGAGACACGGCCCAGACUCCUACGGGAGGCAGCAGUGGGGAAUAUUGCACAAUGGGGGAAACCCUGAUGCAGCGACGCCGCGUGAGCGAUGAAGUAUUUCGGUAUGUAAAGCUCUAUCAGCAGGGAAGAAAAUGACGGUACCUGACUAAGAAG
rnacentral:rRNA from 1 species